rnacentral:rRNA from 1 species
AACGAACGCUGGCGGCGUGCUUAACACAUGCAAGUCGAACGGAAAGGCCCUGCUUUUGUGGGGUGCUCGAGUGGCGAACGGGUGAGUAACACGUGAGUAACCUGCCCUUGACUUUGGGAUAACUUCAGGAAACUGGGGCUAAUACCGGAUAGGAGCUCCUGCUGCAUGGUGGGGGUUGGAAAGUUUCGGCGGUUGGGGAUGGACUCGCGGCUUAUGAGCUUGUUGGUGGGGUAGUGGCUUACCAAGGCUUUGACGGGUAGCCGGCCUGAGAGGGUGACCGGGCACAUUGGGACUGAGGUACGGCCCAGACUGCUACGGGAGGCAGCAGUGGGGAAUAUUGCACAACGGGCGGAAGCCUGAUGCAGCAACGUCGCGUGCGGGAUGACGGCCUUCGGGGUGUAAACCGCUUUCGGCUGUGACGAAGCGUGAGUGACGGUAAUGGGUAAAGAAGCACCGGCUAACUACGUG